rnacentral:antisense_RNA from 1 species
GGCUGCCCUGACGUUAGCAUGGCCGCGGCCCCUGACUGCCCAGCUCGCUUCUAUCCCUCGAGCGGCAGGAAUCCGUCCCCACGCCCUUUUCCUUUAAAGGGCAACGGGCCGAAGGUGGGGCGGGCGGCGCGGCUCCCGCGAUCCAUUCAGGUCAAAAGGGAGAGUGAUCAAACAGGAGAGCCGAGGGGACCUAUAUUCAGAGACUUAACCGGACACCUGGACAGACCAUUACAACUUGGGACUUUUCAGGAGAAUGAGGGAAAUAUAGUUAUUGCACCUGAGCCUCACUCCAGCUCUGAGGUCCUCUUCACUUCUCUUUCGAAGAAGAUUUGAUAUCUUUUCCAAGUUGAAAGAGUAGAGAUCUAAUUUCUCCAAGGGUCAUUGCUUUUUGACACGGGAUUAUUAGAAGCAUUCAUUCAUCUAUCAAGGAGUUUUGGGAUACUUGCCAUAAGCCAAGCCCUCUGAUAGGUGCUGGAAACAUCAAGCUCUGUGCUCAGGAAGUUCACCCCUGGACUCCAUCCGUGAACUCCUUUGCUGUCUUCCCAUUGGAUUCAGCCAGUCCACGGUCCUGGAGCAAAUUCAGGACCUGACACGUAAGAACUGGUGGAGAAUUACCUGCAGAAUAGAUGUUGAAUCUUUGUGCCUCUCUGCUCUCCAAGAAGAUGGCAUGCUCCUUGAUGACAAGAGCCACCUCUGAUCUCCCCCAUCCAGUCAACAUCUUCCAGAAAACAGACUAUCAAUAUGGAUUUGCAGCAUGUAUUGUGAUUGUUUAACAUAAUUUUCCAACAGCUAAUUAUGUGUGGCCACUAUACAUAGAUAUUUCUUUAGCUCAUAUUUUAAUACAUUUCCUGUCAUUCUACAUUACAUAUGUGAAAGACCUUCAACCCAGUUUAGUUUAUAUAUAAUAAGUACAAAAGGGAAAAAAGAAAGCUUCCUUUUGUCACCUCUUUGGGGACUUCUUCAGCCUUUUUUCCAGAUGUGGAAUCCAGAUUGUGUUAUUUUCUUUCCAGACUUGGCUUAGGAGCAAUAUGUCAAGAGUCAGCAAAGCCUCAAGAAUCAUCCAGCUCUUUUCUCCUCUUCAAAACUGCCCUUCUUUUCUCUGAACAUUAAUGUAUCUCUCUGUAUCAUUUAUCUAUUGUUGUGCAGCAAACUACCUCAAAACCUAGCACUUUCAGACAGCAAACACUUAUCAGUUUACAGAGUUUCUGAGAUCAGAAAUCAAGGAGUGGCUCACGUCAGUGGUUCUGGCUCAGUCUCUCAUGGGGCUGCAGUGGAGGUGCAGAAUCUGAUGGGGCUGACGGCUCACUUCCAAGCUCACUGGUGUGGCUGUUGUCAGGACAACUCAGCUCCCUGCCACACGGUCCUCUCCAUAGAACGCUUAUAACACAGCAGCUGGCUUCCCCAAGAGUAAGUGAUUCAAGAGAGCAAGCCACCAAGGCUGGGUGCGGUGGCUCAUGCCUGUAAUCCCAGCACUUUGGGAGGCGGAGGUGGAUGGAUCACCUGAGGUCAGGAGUGUGAGACCAGCCUGGCCAACAGAGUGAAACCCUGUCUCUACGAAAAAUACAAAAAUUAGCCAGGCAUGAUGUGAUGAUGGUGGGCGCCUGUGAUCCCAGCUACUCUGGAGGCUGAGGCAAGAGAAUUGCUUGAUCCUGGCAGGCAGAGGUUGCAGUGAGCUGAGAUAAAAAAGAGAGAGCAAGCCACCAAAUGGGAACCACACACCCUUUUAUAAUCUGGUCUCUGAAGUCAUCCAUUGUAUCCUAUUCUGUAGAAGUAAAUCACUAAGUCCAGUUCCGGAAGGGCAAUUAGACUCUAUCUCUUGAAGGAAGAAGUAUGAAUUUUUGCAUGGACAGUCAUGCACUGCCUAAUGACGUUUUGUCAAUGAUGGACCACAUAUAUAACGGUGGUCCCAUUAGAUAAUAAUGGAACUGAACAAUUCCUGCUGCCUAAUGACACGGAGGCCACCAUAACAUCAUAGUGCGGACAUUCCUUAUGUGUUUGUGGUGAUGCUGGUGGAAACAAACCUACUGUGCUGCCAGUUGUACAAAUGUCUAGGCCAUACAACUAUGUACAGUGCGUAAUACUUGAAAAUAGUAACAAAUGACUAUGUUACUA